GGCAAUUGUGUUUGUGUAUGUUGCCCUAUGAUGAAUUUGAACCCAUCAAAAUUAUUGUUUCAAACAAAAGAUGCUUACAAAAACAGAUUUACAUGUCAAGCACAUCAAAAUGAUUGUUCAUGGUGUUUGUAUCUCUAAACCCUGAACUACCUGUGUACUAUUCUACUCAUUAAUCCCUAUUUGAUGCAGCCCUUCUAUGACAUCUCCAAGGUUGUGAAUUUCACAUUCCAACUGUAGGAACUCUAUACUUUCCCUUACCAGCCCUUCUUGAACCUGAAUACAAUCUGGUAGUCUGCCUUGUCUUGUGAGUCUAUCUUUGUUCAUGUGGGGAAUUUUAUAGUUAUUCACACCCUUUGCCUUGAUUAUUUUGUGAUAACAGCUUUGCAAAGUCAGGAAUACAUUGUUUAGCUUCUCAAAUGGGUAUUUAUCAUAGGCAUCUUUCACAUUCUUUAGCAACUCAUCCACAUCACUUGCUGGUUUUUGAUCUUUCAAUGUCUGUAUAGCCCUGAAAAAAUCAAGAUGGUGAAGCCUCACUCCAACACCUAAUCUAAAUGAUGUUAAAGACGUCGGAAAUCACCUGUGUAGUCGGAGAAUCAAAGGAAAAACUUGCAGAGAACUCAAAACUCUUCUAAAACUCUAUUUCGUAUAUCUUCACUUGCGAAGAAGGUUACAAUUUAUAGGAGUUUACAAGGACCAAGGGUACAUUAGACUUUCUACUCUAAUUCACGUACUCCACAUGCUAGAGUGCGUGCCUAGGUCAUUAUCGGAGGAAUAUUCUUUACUAACUAACUUGCAGCUUUACAAAUGUUAAUGUCCCUCUGAGCAGCGCAGGCUAGCGUUGUUCCGGCUGUGCAGGCGAUCACUUGUCCUCGAGGCUGCGCAGACGCUUUCCUUAACACGACUUGAUUACUGAGCUCUACGGCUGCGCAGUCCCCGCGUUCUCCGCAUCUUGGCUAUUGACUCGUGGUUGUCAUAGUCCUGUAUUGUUAGUCCUGCGCUGAAGGGAUCCUUACUCCUCAUCACAAGAUCAUUCACAUUCGUAUCCGACGAAUUAGCUGACUGACAUACUAGUUGGAUUUUAAAUCCUUCAGUGUUUGCAACCGCUAAAAAGUCCGAAUCAUCAGGUUUUAUGUGGGGUUUGGCAUUGUCUUGUUGGAUGAAUAUGUUCUUGUUUGCUGUUUGUGGCCACUUAGCUUUAAAGUAGGGGACCAUCUGCCAAAGAGCAAAAGCUAAAUGAUGAGUUUUUAAA
rnacentral:lncRNA from 1 species